rnacentral:rRNA from 1 species
UAAUACGUAGGGGGCAAGCGUUGUCCGGAUUUACUGGGCGUAAAGCGCGUGUAGGCGGCGCGUCAAGUCGGGUGUGAAACCCCGGGGCUCAACCCCGGGCGGCCGCCCGAAACUGGCGCGCUUGAGGACGGAAGAGGGGAGUGGAAUUCCUGGUGUAGCGGUGAAAUGCGUAGAGAUCAGGAGGAACACCCGUGGCGAAGGCGGCUCCCUGGUCCGUCCCUGACGCUGAGACGCGAAAGCGCGGGGAGCGAACGGGAUUAGAUACCCCGGUAGUCCGCGCCGUAAACGAUGGUCACUAGGUGUCCGCGGUAUCGACCCCGCGUGUGCCGGCGCUAACGCAUUAAGUGACCCGCCUGGGGAGUACGGCCGCAAGGUUG